rnacentral:Y_RNA from 1 species
GGCUGGUCUGCAGGUACUGAGUUAUCUCACUGGAUUGCUCAGUCAGUCACAGACUGAACUCCUUGUUCUACUAUUUUCCCCCUUCUCACUACUGCGCUUGACUAGUCUUAA